CACUAGCAAUGGUUAUAUUCAACAUACACUGAGCACUUGCCUGUUCUAGAAACUAUGCUGUACCUAUCUACAAAUUGUCUCAUUUAAAACUCAGAACAAGCCUACAAGAGCACCCUUCUAGUCACAAAUAGAACUCGCUAUCUCUGAGCUAGCACAUUUCUAACGAAUGGUGCAUGCCUCCCAGCACCAGAGAGAAACUGCUUUUAUAAACAGUGUAAUUCUUCACCACCACUCUUCCUGAUGCCACCCCCAUCAUAGGAAGGGACCCAAAGUCACCAGGCAGUGAGUAUAUCAGUGUUUAAACUGAAUAUCUGACGACAAGAACAGCAACCUGGUGUGUCGUGACUGCCUAUGGCAGGACAUCACCCAGUCAUUUACUUGACACCAGCAUCUGAAAACCUUCAGAGAAGACUAAGCCAUCUUCCAGGGCAGGCAGCAGAACAAACCCCAGGGCAGCUGAGAAUGCCUCUUCCUACUACUUCUCUGGUGGCUCCGGAACAGGUCCUGGGACACCGUGUGCCAUGCUCUUGCAUGCUUCUUUUAUGCCCCAAGACUUGCCCUCGUUGAUCCCGGUCUUCAGAACACACCAAACAUGGGUUACUCUCCAGCUCAAAAUCAGUAUCUUUCACAUUGUUACCCAGUGGCCUAUUUGCAAAUGCACCCCUCACAAUUCCACCCAAAAAUCUGAGCUCAGAGGAUCCAGAGACCUUGUGUGGAUGAAAUGACUUGGCCAAGGUUACCAAGAAAUACCAUUAACGAUGAAACUAAAGCCUGAGGCACCUUCUUGAUGAAUCAUUGAUGUGCAGGGAGCUCAGCCCACCAUGGGUAGUGCCAUGUAUAAAAGGCUGGUUGAACAAGCCGUGGUGAGUAAGCCAUACUAAGCCCCACUCCUCCAUGGCCUUUGCUUCAGUUCCUGCCUCCAGGGUCCUGCCCAACUUCCUGCUGUGACUUCCUUCAUAAUUGACUAUAAACUAUAAACCGAAAAAAAGAAAAUCCUUCCCCAAAUGACUUUGCUCAUGUUUAUCACAACAAUAGACACAAAACUACGACACGGGGUCUUUGGCCACGCAGCAGAGUCACUGUAAUGAGAAUUCUAACGCCUACCCUUUGUACGCUGGUUAUUCUACUGUGUUCCUUCAUCGCUCCCUGAAUUGAGCCUCCAAACAAAGCUGCAAGAUCAAUUAGAGAACACAUAAAAUGAGCUACUUAAUUUAUGUUUCUCAGAGGGAUAUAAAACAUUUGGCUCACAGGCUUUUAAGACGGGUCAGAGAACAUAAAACUAUAUUUAAUAAGUACAAUGUACUAAAAAUAUCCUUUAGUGAGACAGACUGAUUCGAUUAAAGGGCACCGGUUUCAGGAAAAAAUGGGGAAGCCAGAUGUUGGACCCUCUCAGCCCCAAUCUCAACCAUGCAGGCUUAACCGGACAACUGUUCUGUCAUCUAUACAAUGAGGUGGGUAGCUUCAACAUCCUGCCUUCUUUUCCCAGCUGAUGGCCAACUUCAUCUGCCCAGGCAGAGAGACAGAUUCCACAGAAAAUCUGAGAUCUAAUGCUAUACGCCCAACAGACAUACCAAGCAAGCCACCAUUUAUUUGUCUACUGGCUAAACCUAGGAGUGAAAAACCAGAGCCAGAGCUGUAUAUGUGUUUGGUGAAGUUGGGGAUGCCAGACUCCAAGAUUCGCAUCUCAGAUUCAGGUUAAUGACAAAUGAGGCUACACAUUGACACCCACGCGCUUUGCCGUGCAAAUGAGAUUUCUGUGGCGUCAUAACUUACAAGGGA